GGCAAGGUGGCCGAGCGGUCUAAGGCGGCAGAUUUAAGCGAACUUUUAACGUUCUCGAAACUCUGCUACUCGUAAGAGUGCGUGGGUUCGAACCCCACCCUUGUCA